UACGUAGGGUGCAAGCGUUAAUCGGAAUUACUGGGCGUAAAGCGUGCGCAGGCGGUUUUGUAAGACAGAGGUGAAAUCCCCGGGCUCAACCUGGGAACUGCAUUUGUGACUGCAUGGCUAGAGUACGGUAGAGGGGGAUGGAAUUCCGCGUGUAGCAGUGAAAUGCGUAGAUAUGCGGAGGAACACCGAUGGCGAAGGCAAUCCCCUGGACCUGUACUGACGCUCAUGCACGAAAAGCGUGGGGAGCAAACAGG
rnacentral:rRNA from 1 species